UUAUAAUUAAAAUUAAUUAAUAAGAAAUUAAAUGAAAUCAUUAAAUUUAAAAAAUUUGGCGGUAUUUUAAAUAGUUAGAGGAAUUUGUUAAUUAAAUGAUAAUCCACGAAUGGAAUGUCCUAAUCAAGAUUUUAUAUAUUGUUGUAUAAAAAUUAUUUUAUAAGAAUUAUAAUUGAAAUAUUUAAUGUAAUUUGAAUUCAAAUCAAAAUGUAGAAUUAUUAGGGAUAAAUGAAUUAUGGUUAAUUUAAUAUGAUAAUUAUUUUUUUAAUUAAAAUAAUGAUAUAAGAUUUAAAAGUAAAUUAAAAAAAUUUUUAAAUGAAAUA
rnacentral:rRNA from 1 species